rnacentral:rRNA from 1 species
GACGAACCGUGCGAACGUUGUUCGGAAUCACUGGGCUUAAAGGGUGCGUAGGCGGCUUGCCAAGUCAGGGGUGAAAUCCAGCAGCUUAACUGUUGAAGUGCCUUUGAUACUGGCGAGCUCGAGGGAGGUAGGGGUAUGCGGAACUUCUGGUGGAGCGGUGAAAUGCGUUGAUAUCAGAAGGAACGCCGGUGGCGAAAGCGGCGUACUGGACCUCUUCUGACGCUGAGGCGCGAAAGCUAGGGGAGCAAACGGG